rnacentral:rRNA from 1 species
UACAGAGGUGCCAAGCGUUAGGCGGAAUCACUGGGCUUAAAGCGCGUGUAGGUGGGUCGUUAAGUGUCCGCGUGAAAUCCCACGGCUCAACCGUGGAACUGCCGGGCAUACUGGCGAUCUUGAGGCAUUCAGGGGCGAGCGGAACAAGUGGUGGAGCGGUGAAAUGCGUAGAUAUGACAUAGAACACCAAUUGCGAAGGCAGCUCACUACGGGGUUAUUGACACUGAGGCACGAAAGCGUGGGGAUCAAACAGG